UUAACAAGGAUUCCCCUAGUAACUGCGAGUGAAGCGGGAAAAGCUCAAAUUUAAAAUCCUUCGGGAGUUGUAAUCUAUAGAAGUGUUUUCGGUCGUUGCCUCGGACAAGUCUCUUGGAACAGAGCGUCAUAGAGGGUGAGAAUCCCGUCCUUGCCGAGCUCCCAACGUCUAUGUGAUACACUUUCAAAGAGUCGAGUUGUUUGGGAAUGCAGCUCAAAAUGGGUGGUAAACUCCAUCUAAAGCUAAAUAUUGGCGAGAGACCGAUAGCGAACAAGUACCGUGAGGGAAAGAUGAAAAGCACUUUGGAAAGAGAGUUAAACAGUACGUGAAAUUGUUGAAAGGGAAGCGCUUGGAGUCAGUCGCGUUGCAUGGACUCAGCCUCACGGUGUAUUUCUAUGCAACGGGUCAACAUCAAUUUCGAUCGCGGGAUAAGGGCUUGAGGAAUGUGGCAUCUUCGGAUGUGUUAUAGCCUCCUGUCGUACACCGCGGCUGGGAUUGAGGUCUGCUUACAGGAUGUUGACGAAAUGGCUCUAAGCGACCCGUCUUGAAACACGGACCAAGGAGUCUAACAUGUCUGCGAGUGUUUGGGUGUCAAACCCAUGCGCGCAAUGAAAGUAAUAUAGGUGGGAGGCUUCGGCCGCACCAUCGACCGAUCCGGAUCUCUUGUGAUGGAUUUGAGUAAGAGCAUAUAUGUUGGGACCCGAAAGAUGGUGAACUAUGCCUGAAUAGGGCGAAGCCAGAGGAAACUCUGGUGGAGGCUCGUAGCGAUUCUGACGUGCAAAUCGAUCGUCGAAUUUGGGUAUAGGGCGAAAGACUAAUCGAACCAUCUAGUAGCUGGUUCCUGUC
rnacentral:rRNA from 1 species